ACAUUCUAUCAAUGAUACUGCAAACAGUUCUGUUCAAUGAUCCAAUAAAACUCUGUGAUAUCAUUUUCUAUCUUAUACACUUAAAUAUACAUGCAGUUAUAUAGUUUGGAGCACUUUCUUUUCCUCUCUUUUGUACCAUGACUAUUACAUAUUUUGGGUUUCAUUGCUCCCACGGUUCUUAUUACUUUUUUGGAAGAGAGUAAAACCAAAUGUGACAUAACAGAACAGAAUCGGUCAAGUCAAAAGGGUGGACAUAAUAGAUAAUGUAAAAACAUAAGACCCAGAGAAAUUAAAUAGCUGGUCCAGUGUCAGAAGUUGAACUUAGGCAGUUCAGCUACAGAAUCUGUGCUAAGCGUGUGUUCAAAACCCCAUAGCAAUGGGCUGGGGAUUUAGCUCAGCGGCAUAAGCGCCUACCUGGCAAGUGUGAGUUGGAUUCCCAAUACCAAAAAAAAAAAAAGAAAUCCACAGCAAUCUUUCCUUUGUCUACAUCCUGGAUGGCACCUAGGGUCCUGGCUCACUCUUCACUGCUCUCACAGCCCCAGCUUGUGUAACUGGUACUUGUCUGUUUGUUUUCCCCUGUCCGUGUUACUGGCAUGGAGUGGCUGCUCAGAGAAGGUCUGUUCACUUGACAUUUGCAGAACCCACGGCCAUACCUGCAGGCGGGACUGAUGAACCCCCAAUGCUGACCAAGGAGGAACCUGUCCCAGAAUUGCUGGAAGCUGAGGCCCCUGAAGCUUACCCCGUCUUUGAGCCAGUGCCACCUGUCCCUGAGGCAGCCCAGGGUGACACAGAGGACUCGGAGGGCGCCCCCCCACUCAAGCGCAUCUGCCCAAAUGCCCCUGACCCAUGAGAAGCCGGCCUGCUUGUCCUGUUGUCCCAGGGGCCCCUUUGGCUUUUUACAAAUAAAGUCCCUUUUGUAAUU
rnacentral:lncRNA from 1 species